GGGCCCGUAGUUCAGUGGCAGAACACCCGGUUUGCAUCCGGGAGAUCGCCGGUUCAAGUCCGGCCGGGUCCACCA
rnacentral:tRNA from 2 species